GAAAAAUGAGAUAUAUAGAGAGAGUUUUGGUUCUCCAAUAUCUAUGUUUAACAUCCUGAUUAAUUUUGUUGUGAAAUUAACGUAAGAAAACUGAAGGCUUCAUGCUACCUUUUAAAUGAUGUGAUUUCUGUUAAGGUUGUCUUUUUUUCUUUAAAUGGAAGUUGAUCUUUGAAAUGAAGGUGCAGCUGGUCACAGACUAGUAACAUAUAUAUAUAUAGCCUUAAAAGUGUUUUUACUCUUCAAGAAUUGGCUGGAAGUCCAGAAAAUCAAUUCUGUAGAUUAUCUGUAUGGAAAGUCUCCUGCUUUAUCUUCUAAACAUUUUUCAUAAAUAUGUAUGUGUAUUAUCUAAGUCUGAAUGAGUUGAGCUUCGAUGUUGACAUGUUUUUAUCAUGCUCUUCUAAUGCAGAACAAUCUUGAGUGUAUGACUUUUGACUUCCAGAUAUAGUAAUUCUGUAAUGAAAACUGUAAAAUUUUAUUUCAUUGUCUUUCAAACUGAUUUACCAAAUAAUAAAAUUAACUAAGCACCAGCAUCCAUCUGAUAGAUUGUGUAAAAAUUAGCAUACGCACCUGGUUAUGUUUUAACAUGGUAAGGUAUUUCUCAUCUGUCAACGACUUAUUUUAAAUGAUCCUAGUCAAGAUUGCCAGAAUGGAUCAUUUUCAGUUUGGAUAAAGGGAUUUGGGUCAAAUUUGGUGAGAGAAUCCUUGAGUAAUUGGAAGUUCCAUUUGGUCUAGCUUCACUGGAGGUCGAGGGGCAAAGUUAGCCUAAAUAUUGGCAUGUGGGAUAAAUAAAUUGUGAGAAUGCUUCCUUUACUAAAUUUGAAACUUAAAAUGUAAUGUUUCUAAUCAUGUGAAGUAGAAGAGAUAUCAAAUUUUUUUUUUUUUUUUUUUGAAAAUUACUAUGAACAAAACUAAAUAAAAAAAAAACCUCCUAAAUGAGUGGGAGAAAACCAACAUCCCGGUUGUCUUCAGUCAUUAAUCAGAUCAUGUAGGAAUCAAAGAUGGAUACCCAACAGUAUUCAUAAAGGGAGGUAAAUACAACUGACAUAGAGGAUGGAGCAUCAACAUCAGAAUUCAGUGGUUUUAUUAGUAGUUUACAUGUUCGAACUAGUUAGAAUCAGAAUAACGGUAAAAGUAUUUGCAUAACUAAGGUUAAUUAUUAUAAUUUAUAAACAAAAUUGUUUUGUCACAAUUUCUAAUUUCUGGGCUAUGCAGACCCAGGUCUGUGUGAGAUAUCCAGCUGGAAAUAGAUUUUAUUACUUAAGUAUUCACUUUCCACCACUUUAUUGAACUUUCCUAAACUGAAAAGAUAAAAAUAAAUGAGAGCAGUUGAAGUUACAAUUCUUUUUUCAUAUCGAAAUAUCAAAUUAGGUAUAUCUUUUGGUUAAGAGAGCCAUAUAUGUGCUUUUGGUAAAGAGAGCCAGGGUAUAGGGAGCCAGGUAUAUACUGUUGGUAAAGGGAACCAGAUAUAUACUGUUGGUAAAGGGAACCAGGUAUAUCUGUUGGUAAAGGGAACCAGGUAUAUACUGUUGGUAAAGGGAACCAGGUAUAUCUGUUGGUAAAGGGAACCAGGUAUAUCUGUUGGUAUAGGGAACCAGGUAUAUCUUUUGGUAAAGGGAACCAGGUAUAUCUGUUGGUAUAGGGAACCAGGUAUAUACUGUUGGUAAAGGGAACCAGGUAUAUCUGUUGGUAUAGGGAACCAGGUAUAUACGGUUGGUAAAGGGAACCAGGUAUAUACUUUUGGUAAAGGGAACCAGGUAUGUACUAUUGGUAAAGGGAACCAGGUAUGUACUAUUGGUAAAGGGAGCCAGGUAUAUAUUAUUGGUAAAGGGAGCCAGGUAUAUAUUAUUGGUAAAGGGAACCAGGUAUAUAUUAUUGGUAAAGGGAGCCAGGUAUAUACUGUUGGUAAAGGGAACCAGGUAUAUCUGUUGGUAUAGGGAACCAGGUAUAUACUCUUGGUAAAGGGAACCAGGUAUAUACUCUUGGUAAAGGGAACCAGGUAUAUACUUUUGGUAAAGGGAACCAGGUAUGUACUAUUGGUAAAGGGAGCCAGGUAUAUAUUAUUGGUAAAGGGAGCCAGGUAUAUAUUAUUGGUAAAGGGAGCCAGGUAUAUACGGUUGGUAAAGGGAGUCAAUCGGACAUUCAGCUGUCUAACCCUUAUGCUUUUUUUUAACAAUGGCAAUCUUUAACACAUUCAUGAUAACUAAAAUUACAUUUUUUAAUUGCUUAUUAGGAAAUUAACAAUUUAAGCUGCAUGACUUAGAGAAACUUGGUACAGAAAUAUCAUCCUUAAAUCCAUAGUUAAGACAACUUCAUUUGAAAAUUGCAUAUGGUGUGGUAUCUUAGAAAAUGUACAGGUAUUCUGCCUGACAUACUGUACAAGUAGAUCUGGUAAAUAAACAAUAGGUAUGUAUGCAUACAGGUGCAAUCAAGAAAUAAUUUUGUCUGUUGUUAUUAACAUAUUUCUAAUGUAAUAAAAUAUUACAGUUGUAUAUUAGAGUUUCCAUAUAAAAAGUCUUUCAGCAAUCUUUUUUAUUAAUUCAAUAUAUAAAUAUAUAUACAAAGAGUCCUUUUUUCUGUUUUUUUUUUUUUUUUUUAAUUUUAAAUGUUGACGUCAUACUUACAUGACAUAGAUAUAAUAUUUAUAUUGAUAUAUAUUAUUAAUAAUUCAUAAAGAAUAGUACCUGUUUCUAUUACAUUUGUCAUCCAUCUUAUUGGUUCUCUGUAGGAGUUGUGUAAUUACAAGGAUGUCGUUCUGAGUUCCCCGUUUUCCACAUCUGUUACAUAUAUAAUUGCCAUGAUAUCUCCUCAUGUCUUUUUACCUUGUUUGAAUAAAGAUUCCUGCAACAUUGAA